ACUCAAAUGAAUUGACGGGGGCCCGCACAAGCGGUGGAGCAUGUGGUUUAAUUCGAUGCAACGCGAAGAACCUUACCUACCCUUGACAUGUCUGGAAUUUCAUAGAGAUAUGAGAGUGCCGCAAGGAACCAGAACACAGGUGCUGCAUGGCUGUCGUCAGCUCGUGUCGUGAGAUGUUGGGUUAAGUCCCGUAACGAGCGCAACCCCUGUAUUUAAUUGCUAACAUUAAGUUGAGUACAUUAAAUAGACUGUCGGUGAUAAACCGGAGGAAGGUGGGGAUGACGUCAAGUCCUCAUGGCCCUUAUGGGUAGGGCUACACACGUGCUACAAUGGGCAGUACAGAGGGAAGCGAAGUCGCGAGAUGGAGCAAAUCUCAGAAAGCUGCUCGUAGUCCGGAUUGGAGUCUGCAACUCGACUCCAUGAAGUUGGAAUCGCUAGUAAUCGCGGAUCAGAAUGCUGCGGUGAAUACGUUCCCGGGCCUUGUACACACCGCCCGU
rnacentral:rRNA from 1 species